rnacentral:rRNA from 1 species
UACGUAGGUGCGAGCGUUGUCCGGAAUUAUUGGGCGUAAAGAGCUCGUAGGCGGCUUGUCGCGUCGGAUGUGAAAGCCCGGGGCUUAACUCCGGGUCUGCAUUCGAUACGGGCAGGCUAGAGUUCGGUAGGGGAGAUCGGAAUUCCGUGGUGAGCGGUGAAAUGCGCAGAUAAUCAGGAGGAACACCGGUGGCGAAGGCGGGUCUCUGGGCCGUAACUGGACGCUGAGGAGCGAAGCGUGGGAGCGAACAGG